rnacentral:ncRNA from 1 species
CGGUAGCUGGAUCGACCGGCCUCCUCGGAGGGCAACCCAGCCAACCCUGUCCGUUCAGGACAAACACAACCCCGCGGG